rnacentral:tRNA from 1 species
GCCGGUGUGGCUCAGUGGACAGAGCGUCGGCCUGUGGAUUCAAGGGUCCCGGCUCGAUUCUGGUCAAUGGCA